rnacentral:rRNA from 1 species
UACGUAGGGUGCAAGCGUUGUCCGGAAUUAUUGGGCGUAAAGAGCUCGUAGGCGGUCUGUCGCGUCGGCUGUGAAAACCUGGGGCUCAACUCCGGGCCUGCAGCCGAUACGGGCAGACUAGAAUUCGGUAGGGGAGACUGGAAUUCCUGGUGUAGCGGUGAAAUGCGCAGAUAUCAGGAGGAACACCGGUGGCGAAGGCGGGUCUCUGGGACGGUACUGACGCUGAGACGCGAAAGCGUGGGGAGCGAACAGG